GACGAACGCUGGCGGCGUGCUUAACACAUGCAAGUCGAACGGAAAGGCCCUGCUUUUGUGGGGUGCUCGAGUGGCGAACGGGUGAGUAACACGUGAGUAACCUGCCCUUGACUUUGGGAUAACUUCAGGAAACUGGGGCUAAUACCGGAUAGGAGCUCCUGCUGCAUGGUGGGGGUUGGAAAGUUUCGGCGGUUGGGGAUGGACCCGCGGCUUAUCAGCUUGUUGGUGGGGUAGUGGCUUGCCAAGGCUUUGACGGGUAGCCGGCCUGAGAGGGUGACCGGCCACAUUGGGACUGCGCUACGGCCCGGACUCCUACGGGAGGCAGCAGUGGGGAAUAUUGCACAAUGGGCGGAAGCCUGAUGCAGCAACGCCGCGUGCGGGAUGACGGCCUUCGGGUUGUAAACCGCUUUCGCCUGUGACGAAGCGUUAAUGACGGUAAUGGGUAAAGAAGCACCGGCUAACUACGUG
rnacentral:rRNA from 1 species